rnacentral:lncRNA from 1 species
CAUUGAACCGGAGCAGGAGGGCUACAGCCUUGACCUGGUGUCGAUGGUGAUGCCUGUGUAGUUGGUGGUGGUGGUGCUCCAUAGGAAGGAUAGCCAGAAAGUGAGGGUGGCGGUGGUGGUGUUCCGUAUGAAGGGUAGCCAGAAAGUGGUGUUGGCGGUGGUGGUCCUCUGUAUGAAGGGUAGCCAAAAAGAGGGGAUGGUGGUGGCGGGGUUCCAUAUGAAGGGUAGCCAGAAAGAGAUGGUGCUGGAGGUGAAAGCAGAGGACGGCAUGGAUCAUUCACACAAGUAGUUGGUGAAGGCAUGCCAUAGCCAAGAACCUCCCCUGAAUCAGCAGAACCAUG